AUCCAGUUGACGAGUCCCAAAUUGGAUGAAAUGAGUAUCCUGGAU
rnacentral:hammerhead_ribozyme from 1 species